UACAGAGGUCUCAAGCGUUGUUCGGAUUCAUUGGGCGUAAAGGGUGCGUAGGCGGCGCGGUAAGUCGGGUGUGAAAUCUCGGAGCCUUAACUCCGAAACUGCAUUCGAUACUGCCGUGCUUGAGGACUGGAGAGGAGACUGGAAUUUACGGUGUAAGCGGUGAAAUGCGUAGAUAUCGUAAGGAAGACCAGUGGCGAAGGCGGGUCUCUGGACAGUUCCUGACGCUGAGGCACGAAGGUCAGGGAGCAAACGGG
rnacentral:rRNA from 1 species